rnacentral:tRNA from 1 species
GCCCGGGUGGCGAAAUUGGUAGACGCAGGGGACUCAAAAUCCCCCACCGAAAGGUGUGCCGGUUCGAUUCCGGCCCCGGGCACCA